UGAGUGCAGAAGAGGAGAGUGGAAUUCCACGUGUAGCGGUGAAAUGCGUAGAGAUGUGGAGGAACACCAGUGGCGAAGGCGACUCUCUGGUCUGUAACUGACGCUGAGGCGCGAAAGCGUGGGGAGCGAACAGGAUUAGAUACCCUGGUAGUCCACGCCGUAAACGAUGAGUGCUAAGUGUUAGAGGGUUUCCGCCCUUUAGUGCUGCAGCAAACGCAUUAAGCACUCCGCCUGGGGAGUACGGUCGCAAGACUGAAACUCAAAGGAAUUGACGGGGGCCCGCACAAGCGGUGGAGCAUGUGGUUUAAUUCGAAGCAACGCGAAGAACCUUACCAGGUCUUGACAUCCUCUGACAACCCUAGAGAUAGGGCUUCCCCUUCGGGGGCAGAGUGACAGGUGGUGCAUGGUUGUCGUCAGCUCGUGUCGUGAGAUGUUGGGUUAAGUCCCGCAACGAGCGCAACCCUUGAUCUUAGUUGCCAGCAUUCAGUUGGGCACUCUAAGGU
rnacentral:rRNA from 1 species